rnacentral:rRNA from 1 species
CGGACGGGUGAGUAAUGUAUGGGGAUCUGCCUGAUGGCGGGGGAUAACUACUGGAAACGGUAGCUAAUACCGCAUAACGUCGCAAGACCAAAGAGGGGGACCUUAGGGCCUCUUGCCAUCGGAUGUGCCCAGAUGGGAUUAGCUUGUAGGUAAGGUAACGGCUUACCUAGGCGACGAUCCCUAGCUGGUCUGAGAGGAUGAUCAGCCACACUGGAACUGAGACACGGUCCAG